rnacentral:rRNA from 1 species
AGGACGAACGCUGGCGGCGUGCUUAACACAUGCAAGUCGAGCGGAAAGGCCCUUCGGGGUACUCGAGCGGCGAACGGGUGAGUAACACGUGAGUAAUCUGCCCCUAGCUCUGGGAUAGCUCCGGGAAAACCGGGAUUAAUACCGGAUACGACCACUUUAGACAUCUGUUGUGGUGGAAAGAAUUUUGGCUAGGGAUGAGCUCGCGGCCUAUCAGCUUGUUGGUGGGGUAAUGGCCUACCAAGGCGACGACGGGUAGCCGGCCUGAGAGGGCGACCGGCCACACUGGGACUGAGACACGGCCCAGACUCCUACGGGAGGCAGCAGUGGGGAAUAUUGCGCAAUGGGCGAAAGCCUGACGCAGCGACGCCGCGUGGGGGAUGAAGGCCUUCGGUUGUAAACCCUUUCAGCAGGGACGAAGCGAAAGUGACGGUACCUGCAGAAGAAGCGCGGCUAACUACGUGCCAGCAGCCGC